CUACGGGACGCAGCAGUGGGGAAUAUUGCACAAUGGACGAAAGUCUGAUGCAGCAACGCCGCGUGGAGGAUGACACAUUUCGGUGCGUAAACUCCUUUUAUAUAGGAAGAUAAUGACGGUACUAUAUGAAUAAGCACCGGCUAACUCCGUGCCAGCAGCCGCGGUAAUACGGAGGGUGCAAGCGUUACUCGGAAUCACUGGGCGUAAAGAGCGUGUAGGCGGGUUAAUAAGUUGGUUGUGAAAUCCUAUGGCUCAACCAUAGAACUGCAUCCAAAACUGUUAACCUAGAGUAUGGGAGAGGUAGAUGGAAUUUCUGGUGUAGGGGUAAAAUCCGUAGAGAUCAGAAGGAAUACCGAUUGCGAAGGCGAUCUACUGGAACAUUACUGACGCUGAGACGCGAAAGCGUGGGGAGCAAACAGGAUUAGAUACCCGGGUAGUC
rnacentral:rRNA from 1 species